UACGAAGGGGGCUAGCGUUGUUCGGAAUUACUGGGCGUAAAGCGUGCGCAGGCGGUCUUCCAAGUCAGUGGUGAAAGCCCGGAGCUCAACUCCGGAACUGCCAUUGAAACUGUGAGACUCGAGUACGAGAGAGGUGAGUGGAAUUCCCAGUGUAGAGGUGAAAUUCGUAGAUAUUGGGAAGAACACCGGUGGCGAAGGCGGCUCUCUGGGACGGUACUGACGCUGAGACGCGAAAGCGUGGGGAGCGAACAGG
rnacentral:rRNA from 1 species